ACUGCGAGUCCGGAUGUGGCCACCAGAGAUCAAGGGAAUCAAUAGUCCUUGGUAUACAUCCCGCAAACUUCAUGUAUGUACAGUUUCAUGCGAACCAUGCCAUCUACAGCACGUGUCAAUUGUAUAUAUCGUUCUAGGUGCAGGGCUCGGAAGGCGCUUGCCAGCAAGGCCGUGUACUAUGCGAAUCGACUGGAGCUGAUCUCGGAAAUCGAGUGAUCGAUACUGUUUGAGAAAAAGCAUCGAAAGUAAACGCACUGUCAUGCAUCGCUGAUCGUAGCGCGAACACAUUGUGCACGAGGCGUACUCAUUGGGGCGAAUACAAGGGACCGGCGUUCGACGACGGACCCCGACACCGGAACGCGAUGCGUGGACCAGUGCACCGAUAAACUUGUGGUGCGUCCACGUGACAGGUUAUCAUGCAGGCACCGUGCCGACAGUUCUCGUAGGUUCCUCAGGUAGGUAGCGCUUUAAACGAGCGUGCAUCUGGCGAUACACUGGGGCUGCCAUUCGAACUGGGACAGGUUUCCUGCGCUCUUUCGAGCUCAGGAGACGCUGGACUACCUGUGCUGUCUGCUGCGACUAAUGAAAUAACCUAUAAGCGCUGGGGCGCUUCAUGGUGAACCAAAGCUAUGCGAAACAGGCAAAUUUUUCGCGUUGCUUGGCCCCUGCCCAGCUCGCAUGCGUUACGGAACGAGCAUGCCGCGUAUCGCCAACAUGCGAUAUGCUCGUCCUGAAACCGCACCACUGCACGCAAUCUAUCGCAUCCUAAACACCCAAGCGUCUCGAGUUGUCAACCGUGCGUCACGUGCUCGUGCGGCAUCCAGAUGCAGCAACGAUGGCCCCAGCUGCAGUCCUGCGCUCGCUUUUGGAAUGGCAGCGUUUGUUCUAUGUGGCCAACACGCCCGUCCACUGACUGGCGUUCGAGGCUGUUCGGCGUGGCGCCCUGGAUGCACGACCAACACCCGAUGCACAAAUGAUACCUCGCAUGAGUCGGGGCGCAUCGUCGGUGUUUGCGCGCUGUCUGAAGCGGCAUCAUUCCCGUCAAGGUCAACCGGGACCCGCUUGUGCGAUGUAUCGACGCUCGUGACCAGAUGAAGUCGUCCGUCUCCCGUGAAAGGCGGCUUCAUAACAACCACGCAUUCCAGCUUGCUAGUUAUCUUGGGUGUAAUCAUGCUUUCCCAAACUGACACUGCAGCAUUGUCCUACGUUUUGUUCUUCACCGACACCACAGCCAUCGACUUGAGCCUCUUUCAGGCCGAGAGUACCGCACUCGACGCAUUCGGCAACGCUUCCCUCCACUGCAGCGAAUCCUUCAACGCCAGCGUAAGCAUCAGUGCCUGGGCAUAGUUCAGUCGCGGAUCGCAAGCUGAAUGGUACGCGCGAGCGAGGUCAUGAACUGCGGUUCGGGUGGCGCCACCAAGGCACUCGGUCACCGCUUCGCCGCUCAUUUCCAGGUGUAUGCCACCAGCAGGCACACCUUCGGCAGCGGUAAUUUCAAAGAAUAACCGCAUCUCGUCGAGAACCUGCUCACAGUCUCGAGUCUUGAAUGAAUUGCCGUUCUUGUCCCGAACACUCUGGGUAUUCGCAUGCAUCGGAUCGCACAUCCAGACGACUGCGAGGCCGCUGCGCUUCACCGCUGCCAUGAGCGGUGGAAGCUUUCGCUGGAGAGCAUCCACACCCAUGCGUGUGAUCAGUGUCAGACGUCCGGGAGUGUUCGCGGGAUUCAGGAUCUCGGCUAGCGCAAAUACUUGCUCCAGUGUAGCGUUUCCAGACAGUUUCACGCCAAUCGGAUUGGAAACACCUCGAAGAAACUCAACAUGAGCGCCAUCAAUCUGGCGAGUGCGCUCACCUAUCCAGAGAAAAUGAGCACUUGUCGCAUAAUACUGCGGCGCUGAUAAUAAAUCGAUAGGCGAUCCC
rnacentral:misc_RNA from 1 species